CCCAGACUCCUACGGGAGGCAGCAGUCGGGAAUAUUGCGCAAUGGAGGAAACCCUGAUGCAGCGACGCCGCGUGAGUGAAGAAGUAUUUCGGUAUGUAAAGCUCUAUCAGCAGGGAAGAAAAUGACGGUACCUGAUUAAGAAGCCCCGGCUAACUACGUGCCAGCAGCCGCGGUAAUACGUAGGGGGCAAGCGUUAUCCGGAUUUACUGGGUGUAAAGGGAGCGUAGACGGCAGCACAAGUCUGGAGUGAAAUGCCGGGGCUUAACCCUGGAACUGCUUUGGAAACUGUGCAGCUAGAGUGCAGGAGAGGUAAGUGGAAUUCCUAGUGUAGCGGUGAAAUGCGUAGAUAUUAGGAGGAACACCAGUGGCGAAGGCGGCUUACUGGACUGUAACUGACGUUGAGGCUCGAAAGCGUGGGGAGCAAACAGGAUUAGAUACCCGAGUAA
rnacentral:rRNA from 1 species